rnacentral:rRNA from 1 species
GGAGUUAGCCGGUGCUUCUUCUGUGAGUGAUGUCCUUCCUGCCGGCUAUUAACCCGCAGGCCUUCUUCCUCACUGAAAGUGCUUUACAACCCGAAGGCCUUCUUCACACACGCGGCAUGGCUGGAUCAGGGUUGCCCCCAUUGUCCAAUAUUCCCCACUGCUGCCUCCCGUAGGAGUCUGGGCCGUGUCUCAGUCCCAGUGUGGCUGAUCAUCCUCUCAGACCAGCUACGGAUCGUCGCCUUGGUGAGCCGUUACCUCACCAACCAGCUAAUCCGACAUAGGCUCAUCCGAUAGCGCGAGGCCCGAAGGUCCCCCGCUUUCCCCCGUAGGGCGUAUGCGGUAUUAGCCUGGGUUUCCCCAGGUUAUCCCCCACUACCGGGCAGAUUCCUAUGCAUUACUCACCCGUCCGCCGCUCGCCACCAGGGAGCAAGCUCCCCGUGCUGCCGCUCGACUUGCAUGUGUUAGGCCUGCCGCCAGCGUUCAAUCUGAGACACAAUACAACUACUGACUAGAGACGGGCGGCGGCGAACGGACGGCGACUAG